AAAAUUCAUUGGCCGUCGGUCAUAUUCCAAACAGCUUAUGCUGGUGACCGGCUUGACCACCCACAUUAUGUGAACCGAACUGUCUCUGGCGGGUGGGUAGCAGCAAAAACUGCUACUUGUCAGCAAAUGCGCUUGCAUUUGCCGUGGACACCCCGCCAACCAGGUCCUACACCUUUAUUAUCUUUUGAUGUCUGACAUAACAUGUAUUAAUAUACAAAA
rnacentral:misc_RNA from 1 species